UACGUAGGGUGCAAGCGUUAUCCGGAAUUAUUGGGCGUAAAGAGCUCGUAGGCGGUUUGUCACGUCUGCUGUGAAAACUGGAGGCUCAACCUCCAGCCUGCAGUGGGUACGGGCAGACUAGAGUGCGGUAGGGGAGAUUGGAAUUCCUGGUGUAGCGGUGGAAUGCGCAGAUAUCAGGAGGAACACCGAUGGCGAAGGCAGAUCUCUGGAACGCAACUGACGCUGAGACGCGAAAGCGUGGGGAGCAAACAGG
rnacentral:rRNA from 1 species